GCGGGAGUAGCUCAGUUGGUAGAGCAUUAGCCUUCCAAGCUAAGGGUCGCGGAUUCGAAUUCCGUCUCCCGCUCUA
rnacentral:tRNA from 1 species